AGUAGGUCAGCAAACCUCGACGUUCCAGAAACUUCUCCCCUGCAGUGAUGUCCAUUCGUAAGCUUUGCCAUCUGGACCCCUUGCUUCCCAUACCCUGAACGUGAUAUACCACAGUCUUAACGAUCGUCUGUAGGAAAAAAACUCAAGGCGGUACUCUGUUUCAUGAACAGGUGUGAAAUGAUGUCGUUCAACUCCUUCAAUACCCCUGUUUCAUACGACCAGUAAAAGUAUGAUUGCCUGUAUGAAUGUCAAUAUAAAAAUAUUUUCACCACUUUCUCGUUGAACCCUUUCCCGGCUUUAAUUAAAAAAACAAAAUACACAAAUUUUUCUUUAAAAAUACAUACCAUGCACUUGCAACUAUUUCCUACAGGUAGCCCAUAUCCUGGGGGUACCAUGACAUCAUCAUUCGUUACCUAGCAACUGACCACCCCCCACUAAUUAACGAUUUUUUUUACACAUUUCACAAUUAUGAAUAUUAUAUAAUUAUGAA